UACAGAGGGGGCAAGCGUUGUCCGGAAUUACUGGGCGUACAGCGCGCGCAGGCGGUUGCCGACGUGCCGUGUGACAAACGGGGGCUCAACCCCCGAGGGCCACGGUAAACGGGGCGACUGGAGGUAGGGAGAGGGAUGUGGAAUGCCCGGUGGAGCGGUGAAAUGCGUAGAGAUCGGGCGGAACACCAGCGGCGAAGGCGGCGCUCUGGGCCGGAACUGACGCUGAGGAGCGAAAGCGUGGGUAGCAAACAGG
rnacentral:rRNA from 1 species